CAAUAGCGUAUAUUAAAGUUGUUGCAGUUAAAAAGCUCGUAGUUGGAUUUGUGGCGUACGGUGUGUUCCGGGCACUUGUUGUCUGAGUAACCUGCUGUUGCCAUCCUUGGGUGGAACCUGUGUGGCAUUAGGUUGUCGUGCAGGGGAUGCCCAUCAUUUACUGUGAAAAAAUUAGAGUGUUCAAAGCAGGCUUAUGCCGUUGAAUAUAUUAGCAUGGAAUAAUGAGAUAGGACCUUUUUGCUAUUUUGUUGGUUUGCGCAAGAAGGUAAUGAUUAAUAGGGACAGUUGGGGGUAUUCGUAUUCCAUUGUCAGAGGUGAAAUUCUUGGAUUUUUGGAAGACGAACUACUGCGAAAGCAUUUACCAAGGAUGUUUUCAUUAA
rnacentral:rRNA from 1 species